rnacentral:rRNA from 1 species
GCAUGCANGUCGAGCGAGAAGUUUAGAUUGGAUCCUUCGGGUGAAGCUCUAAACGGAAAGCGGCAAACGGCGUAGUAAUGCGUAGGUACGUACCCUCAGAUCGGGAAUAGCCAGGGGAAACCUUGGGUAAUGCCCGAUAAUGUCCGUGGACCAAAGGUGUGAUUCCGUCUGAGGAGCGGCUUACGUGAUAUUAGCUUGUUGGUGGGGUAAUGGCCUACCAAGGCUACGAUGUCUAGGGGGUGUGAGAGCAUGGCCCCCACGACCGGAACUGAGACACUGUCCGGACACCUACGGGUGGCUGCAGUCGAGAACCUUCCGCAAUGGGCGAAAGCCUGACGGAGCGACGCCGCGUGCGGGAUGAAGGCCCUUGGGUUGUAAACCGCUGUCAGAGGGGAUGAAAUCAUGGUUGGCUAUCCUUCCAUGUUGACAGAGCCUCAGAGGAAGCACGGGCUAAGUACGUGCCAGCAGCCGCGGUAACACGUACUGUGCGAACGUUAUUCGGAAUCACUGGGCUUAAAGGGUACGUAGGCGGUUUUUCAAGUCAGAUGUGAAAUGCCACAGCUCAACUGUGGCACUGCGUUUGAAACUGAUUGACUAGAGUAUUCCAGGGGUGUGCGGAACUUAUGGUGGAGCGGUGAAAUGCGUUGAUAUCAUGAGGAACACCGGANGCGAAGGCGGCACACUGGGGGAUAACUGACGCUGANGUACGAAAGCCAGGGUAGCGAACGGGAUUAGAUACCCCGGUAGUCCUGGCUGUAAACGAUGAGCACUGGGCGAGAGGCGAUUCGUCNCUUUUUGCCGUANCGAAANCAUUAAGUGCUCCGCCUGGGGAGUAUGGU